UUGGAGGGCAAGUCUGGUGCCAGCAGCCGCGGUAAUUCCAGCUCCAAUAGCGUAUAUUAAAGUUGUUGCAGUUAAAAAGCUCGUAGUUGAAUUUCGGGAUCAAUUUAUUGGUCGUGCUAUUGUACGUACUGGUAUUAUUGAUUUCUACCUUCUGACGAACCAUGAUGUCAUUAAUUUGGUGUCUUGGGGAAUCAGGACUGUUACUUUGAAAAAAUUAGAGUGUUUAAAGCAGGCUCACGCUUGAAUACAUUAGCAUGGAAUAACGAAAUAGGACGUUUGAUUCUAUUUUGUUGGUUUCUAGGAUCGACGUAAUGAUUAAUAGGGAUAGUUGGGGGCAUUAGUAUUCAAUUGUCAGAGGUGAAAUUCUUGGAUUUAUUGAAGACUAACUACUGCGAAAGCAUUUGCCAAGGAUGUUUUCAUUAAUCAAGAACGAAAGUUAGGGGAUCGAAGACGAUCAGAUACCGUCGUAGUCUUAACCAUAAACUAUGCCGACUAGGGAUCGGAUGAUGUUAAUUUUUUAAUGACUCAUUCGGCGCCUUACGGGAAAC
rnacentral:rRNA from 2 species